GGGCGGAUGGUUUAGUGGUAUAAUACUCCCUUAGCACGAUGUCACCAGAUGACAGGGUGUGGGAGUGGUCCGGGGUUCGAUUCCCCGUCUGUCCA